rnacentral:tRNA from 1 species
GGUCGGAUAGCUCAGUUGGUUAGAACAUCUGGAAUAUAACCAGAAGGUCCUGGGUUCAAUCCCCAGUCUGGUCA